GAAAUGCGAUAAUUAAUGUGAAUUGCAGAAUUCAGUGAAUCAUCGAGUCUUUGAACGCACAUUGCGCCCCCUGGUAUUCCGGGGGGCAUGCCUGUCCGAGCGUCAUUGCUGCCCUCAAGCACGGCUUGUGUGUUGGGCUUCCGUCCCUGGCAACGGGGACGGGCCCAAAAGGCAGUGGCGGCACCAUGUCUGGUCCUCGAGCGUAUGGGGGUUUGUCACCCGCUCCCGUAGGUCCAGCUGGCAGCUAGCCUCGCAACCAAUCUUUUUAACCAGGUUGACCUCGGAUCAGGUAGGGAUACCCGCUGAACUUAAGC
rnacentral:misc_RNA from 1 species